CGCGUAGGCGGCUAUUUAAGUCGGAUGUGAAAGCCCCGGGCUCAACCCCGGAACGGCAUUCGAAACUUUUGGGCUCGAGAACGGAAGAGGAGAGUGGAAUACCCAGUGUAGAGGUGAAAUUCGUAGAUAUUGGGUGGAACACCGGUGGCGAAAGCGGCUCUCUGGUCCGGAUCUGACGCUGAGGCGCGAAAGCGUGGGGAGCAAACA
rnacentral:rRNA from 1 species